AGUGAACGCUGGCGGUAGGCCUAACACAUGCAAGUCGAACGGCAGCACAGUAAGAGCUUGCUCUUACGGGUGGCGAGUGGCGGACGAGUGAGGAAUACAUCGGAAUCUACUUUUUCGUGGGGGAUAACGUAGGGAAACUUACGCUAAUACCGCAUACGACCUACGGGUGAAAGCAGGGGAUCUUCGGACCUUGCGCGAUUGAAUGAGCCGAUGUCGGAUUAGCUAGUUGGCGGGGUAAAGGCCCACCAAGGCGACGAUCCGUAGCUGGUCUGAGAGGAUGAUCAGCCACACUGGAACUGAGACACGGUCCAGACUCCUACGGGAGGCAGCAGUGGGGAAUAUUGGACAAUGGGCGCAAGCCUGAUCCAGCCAUACCGCGUGGGUGAAGAAGGCCUUCGGGUUGUAAAGCCCUUUUGUUGGGAAAGAAAAGCAGCAGGUUAAUACCCCGCUGUUCUGACGUUACCCAAAGAAUAAGCACCGGCUAACUUCGUG
rnacentral:rRNA from 1 species